CCUGGAUUGCAUCUUUCCACUUGGGCCAAUCUUGCCUCUGUGUACAUUCAUUAAUAGAGCACGGCUCAAUAUCACCAUCUUUUAUGAUCUCAGCAGCCACUGAGAAUGCAAAUAUAUCAUCGAUGAUCAUCUCAUUUCUACUCCACAAUUCAUCAGUGGACGUAUAAUUUAUGGAGAUUUCUUGACUUUCAUGUACGGUUGCCACUCCAUGGGCACUUGUCUCACCAAUGACGUUUUCCUUGUCAAGAAGUACCUGUCCCUCUUUGGGGGCAUUUGAAUUAUGAAUUGUGGGCUCUCUAUUUAUUUCAUUUGGAUUCAUUUUGUCCAUCAACUUCCUCUUUCGAGGAAUUGAAUCCUUUGAGCCUAGUGGUCUGCCACGUUUUAGGCGUGCAGCAGAUGAACCAUUUGCUGGGACAUUGCUUUGUCCAUUAUGGACAUCAAUCCGUGCG
rnacentral:lncRNA from 1 species